rnacentral:sRNA from 1 species
CACCCAGGGGAGUGUGAGGCCCUUCUAGGCUGACCUCAAAGACACCGCUCUCCCCAGAAUCCAGAGGGACACCUGGAGGGAUAAACAGGUCAGCCUUGGGUCCAG